GCCUGGAUGGCUCCGUUGGUUGAGCAUCUGACUUUGGCUCAGGAUCAUGACCUCACAGUUCAUGGGUUCAAGCCCCAUGUUGGGCU
rnacentral:tRNA from 1 species